GGCUCUCUUUGGGGGUCCGAGUUGUAAUUUGCAGAGGAUGCUUUGGCAUUGGCGGCGGUCUAAGUUCCUUGGAACAGGACAUCACAGAGGGUGAGAAUCCCGUACGUGGUCGCCUGCCUUUGCCGUGUAAAGCUCCUUCGACGAGUCGAGUUGUUUGGGAAUGCAGCUCUAAAUGGGAGGUAAAUUUCUUCUAAAGCUAAAUACUGGCCAGAGACCGAUAGCGCACAAGUAGAGUGAUCGAAAGAUGAAAAGUACUUUGGAAAGAGAGUCAAAAAGCACGUGAAAUUGUUGAAAGGGAAGCGCUUGCAGCCAGACUUGCCCGCAGUUGCUCACCUAGGCUUUGGCCUGGGGCACUCUUCUGCGGGCAGGCCAGCAUCAGUUUGGGCGGUUGGAUAAAGGCCUCUGUCACGUAUCUCCCUUCGGGGUGACCUUAUAGGGGAGGCGCAAUGCAACCAGCCCGGACUGAGGUCCGCGCAUCUGCUAGGAUGCUGGCGUAAUGGCUGUAAGCGGCCCGUCUUGAAACACGGACCAAGGAGUCUAACAUCUAUGCGAGUGUUUGGGUGUCAAGCCCGAGCGCGCAAUGAAAGUGAACGGAGGUGGGAACCCUUUGGGUGCACCAUCGACCGAUCCUGAUGUCUUCGGAUGGAUUUGAGUAAGAGCAUAGCUGUUGGGACCCGAAAGAUGGUGAACUAUGCUUGAAUAGGGUGAAGCCAGAGGAAACUCUGGUGGAGGCUCGCA
rnacentral:rRNA from 1 species